AUCAACCAUGGGAUGACCCUGAGGGAAGCUGGCCAACGGGUUCAGCCUAAACUGAGCCGCUACACUGUGGCAGGCAUCAUUAGGACAUUUCGAAAUGAGAAUCGAAUUGCUAGACGUCCAGAUGUUGGGGGCAGAGGCAGAAUGUUCACUCCAGAGCAAGAGACCCAUAUAGUGAACAUGGUGAUUGCCAAUAAUGCAAUAAGACUGCGCGAAAUACAGCAGCGCAUAAUUGAUAAUGACACCAUCUUUCAAAAUAUACACAGUGCAAGCAUUUCUGCACUAAGUCGUGUACUUGCGCGCCACAGAAUAAGAAUGAAGCAAAUUUACAGAGUUCCUUUCGAGAGAAACACAGAACGUGUAAAGCAACUGCGAUAUGACUAUGUGCAGAGGGAAGGAAUAUUAUUGAACACCGUGCCAUCAUCAAUGUCCCAGGACAACGUGGUGGUAACAUAACCAUGUGUGCAGCUAUAAGCCAAAAUGGUGUUGUUCACCAUCAUGCAACCAUAGGCUCAUACAACACUGCACACAUUAUUGCAUUCCUGGACACCUUGCAUGACAUGCUCACUGUUCAGAGACCAGAGCAGACCCGAUAUGUCAUCAUAUGGGACAAUGUUAGUUUCCAUAGGGCUGCUUUGGUCCACAACUGGUUUACAGACCACCCAUCCUUCAUGGCACUCAACCUCCCUCCAUACUCUCCAUUCUUAAAUCCCAUCGAGGAGUUCUUCUCUGCCUGGUGCUGGAAAGUGUACGACCGUCAUCCUCAUCAACAGGUAGCCCUUUUAC
ensembl:lncRNA